rnacentral:lncRNA from 1 species
AACGGCGGCACAGACAAGGUGGCGGUAGCUAAAAAUGGGCGACGCACAAACAAACAAAAGUUUUCCCAUACCCUUUCGAGGCAGACGGGUUAAUCGUGUUGCAGGUGCCACCGUGCCUCCUUCAGCACAAUGAAGUUAGAGCAGACUCAAAGGUCGCCGAGUUGCUGUCAGAACAAAGCAAAUGAAAUGGACUUCAAAAUUAAUUAAACGAAAAGUGU